UAAAGUUACAGGCCCACUUGUCUCUAUUUUUAAUUGAAGACUUGGAAGGAAUGACUCAUUUUUGUCGUUAGGUUACCUCGGACCGCCAGCCUAAAAAACAGCUUCAGUAUUUGGUUCAUCUGUACGCUGCAAUGGGGAAACUGGAAAGUAGCUCAAUAGGGAAAAGUAUUUAGUUCAACUUUAUGAAUUCACGCUGCUCAAUGGCUUAGCUAAUGUCGGCGAAAAUCUAUCAUUUAAUCUUCUCCUACUACUCGUUCUUGUUCUUUUUCUUAUGGGGUUUGGUAGAAAUUCUGCUUUGUUUGUUUUGCAGAAUCAAAAGUACCUCUUGUCAAGUAAUUUAGUUCAAACAUGACAUGAGUUAACGGGUAUGGGUAUAACUGACUCAGUUGUUUGAGGUUGAAGGGUUGCUCUUGUUGUUGUUGCUGUGCUUGUUGGCUUCGUGUGUGAGCCUGAAAGUUCAAAAAUUUCAUUCAUGUCUUGAGUUUUGCGGGUUAAAAAGAACAAACAAUGAAAGUUUAAAAUUUUCAGUUUUUUUGGAUGUCUCAAAUUUAUACUUUUAGGGAUGAGAAGUAUUGAUCCCAUUAGUCUGAAUUGAGCAUACACUACUAGUUUGAGGUUGAAGCAUUGCUGUUAUUGUUGUUCUUGUGCUUGUUGGCUUCAUGAAUUAGUAUGAAUUGAAAAAAGACAGGAUGCUUUCUACCUAAAGAGUAUGACUUUUCUAUAGCACAUUUAACAUGUUAACAAGUGAUACAUGCUCAAGAUCAAACUCAUGAGUUCUGUACUUCUCGCCCUAAUUGAAAAGCAGUACUAGAGAAAAAUCCUUAAAAAAUGAAAAUUUUAAACUUUCACUGUCUGUUCUUCUUAGCCCUAAUUGAAAAGGCAGAACUCGAGAUGCAUGCUAAAACCAUGAAAUAUUUAUCUUCCAUACCAAUUCAUGAAGCCAACAAGCACAAAAGACAACAAAAAACAGCGCUUAGACCGCAAAUUACUAGGUCAGCUAAAUCUGCACUCGUUAACCCUUUUCGUUCCAGAAUUCAAUAAUUUGAGUAGAGAUACUUCCGAAGGUGACAUACAAAUUUCUAUCCAAACCAAAAAUUGGUAGAAUUUUAGGAAUCCCCUAAAAGAAAAGGCAGGAGACUGAAUUCUAGAUUUUCGCCGACAGCAGUAAAGACGUUGAAGUAGCGAGAGUACAAUGACGUAUAACGUGUGUUUUCCAUCUCACAGUCUAUUAGUCAAUGUGUAUUUUUUUUAUUUGAUGGCGUUAACAAUCCCACCAUUGGCUCAAACCCUAGGUAUUUUUUUCGUCGCUGCUCUCUGCUUACUUUGGCGCAGGUUGGAGUGGACAAAAAAAUUUGAAAGACAGGUUUUGUCACUCCUUUUUACUAUUUUAUUCCCCUCUGACUUUUUUUUUUUUUUCCUUUCCCCAGAUUUUUAAUACUUAGAUUCUGUGCUUGUUCUAGUAAUAGAUCUUGUGAGGCAAUCUCAUAAAUUUAUAAAUUUGAUGAAAAAGAAUCAUUCAAGUGAUCAAUUUUUUUUGUGUAAAAUGAGGAUUAUUAAUCUGAACCGAUUAAUUAAUUAACUAUCAUAUGUCUAGAUUAUCAUCCAUCAGUAACGCUUGGUGGAAUGAAAAUUUUAAAUUUUCAUCUCUGUCUGUCUAUUUGUUUUAACGCCUCAAGGUUGACAUUAGCUCACCUUUUCCUCAUUUCAGAUGAAUGUUCCAAAAUUGGACUUGCAAGUUUCUUUAAUAUUGAUGUUUCAAGGACCCCUUUUGUUUCCUACAAUUGCUCUUAUGCAAUCUUGGUAGAUUCAUUGUAGCAUCACAAACUAAAUGUCGCUAUGUACUUGGGAUGGGUGCACCAGCUUUGUUCAAACUUACCUUAAAUGUUGUAAUGGUUGACAGUUUUCUAUUUGUUUCUCCACACUUGCGGAGUGCCACAUGUUUUUAUAAGUUUGAUAAUAUAUUGAUUUACCUUUCUGUUAUAAACUGUUCAUGUCAAAGAUAACGAUUUUUGGAAUCAGGUAUAUAUUGAUUGGAUUGUAAUCUUGUUCUAUCUGUUAACAUUGUGGAGUUACGCUAUUAUAUAUCUUGUUGUAUUUCUCAUCAAAAUUGAAAGUUAUGGAUGAUGCAAAAUAAAUUUAGAAUUUGGAUGGGUGCAUGCUCUUGUAAAUGAGGUGUCUUUUCUUGAUCUAGAAUUGUCAUUUGCAAGUUGUUUCAAAACAAAGAACUGAAAGAAGAUAACAACAACAGAAGAAUCAGAGUGCUACCCUCAGGAUAUGUUUCCACUUUAUGGCAAUUGCCGAUAACCCUGCUGUCUUUAUUUUCUGGUUGUUGGUCAGGUUAAUGUAUAGCAGUUCUCGAAAGUGGUGUUAUUGUUGUGCUGCAGUCUUAUAUUAAUGAGGAUGUGCUGUGUAAAUCAGAAAGGUGAAUCCUUUUACACUGUAAGCUGGGCCUGCAAUAUUGAUGGGAGUCCAUUCAUAGUGGCUGGCAGAAUAAAUGGAAUUAAUUAGUGCAGUCAAUGAGAAGAUACAUGAGGUAUUGCACCCAAGGGUGUUGCCUAGUGGUUCAAUGAAGUUGGGUUGAGCACCAUGAGGUCUCAGAUUCAGUUCGCAACAGAGACAAACACUAGGCGAUUCGUUUCCAUUUAUUCUAACCUUGGUGGAUAGAGUUACCUGGUACCUGUUGCUGGUGGGAGAUGGCAGGUAUUCAGUGGAAUUAGUCGAGGUGCGCGCAAGCUGACCUGGACACCACAGUUAUCCAAAAAAAAAAAAAAAAAGAUACAUGAGGUUUUGACAUGAAAUCUAUGAUUUGCACUUUACUUGGUUAAACAAAAGUAGUUGCUCCUUUAGUUAUAAAAAAUGAAUAUCGGCAAAUGAGUUUGUAACAGCCAUCUAAUUAAUCUUUAUCUGAACUCUAAAGUAUUUCCUUUUUCCCAGGAUCUGGUCCAUUUAUUCAUCAUGAUUUGAACAAUGAAGUUUUCCUUCA